GACGGAGGAACCCCGCGUGGGGGAGGACGCCCUUCGGGGGGUAAACCCCUUUUUUGCGGGAAGAAGGUGGGGCAACCCACUUGACGGUACCGCAGGAAGAAGGACCGGCUAACUACGUGCCAGCAGCCGCGGUAAUACGUAGGGUCCGAGCGUUGUCCGGAGUUACUGGGCGUAAAGCGCGCGUAGGCGGCGGUGCUGGCCCGGCGUGAAAGCCCCCGGCUCAACCGGGGAGGGUCGUCGGGGACCGCACCGCUUGAGGGCGGUAGGGGCUGGUGGAAUGCCUGGUGUAGUGGUGAAAUGCGUAGAGAUCAGGCGGAACACCCGUGGCGAAGGCGGCCAGCUGGGCCGUCCCUGACGCUGAGGCGCGAAGGCGUGGGGAGCGAACGGGAUUAGAUACCCCGGUAGUCCACGCAGUAAACGAUGCCGACUAGGCGUGGGGGGAGUUGACCCCCUCCUGCCGGAGCCAACGCGGAAUCGGCCGCUGGAUACGCGC
rnacentral:rRNA from 1 species